rnacentral:rRNA from 1 species
CCUACGGGUGGCAGCAGUGGGGAAUAUUGGACAAUGGGGGCAACCCUGAUCCAGCCAUGCCGCGUGUGUGAAGAAGGCCCUCGGAUUGUAAAGCACUUUCAGUGAGGAAGAACGCCUGGUGGUUAAUACCCAUCAGGAAAGACAUCACUCACAGAAGAAGCACCGGCUAACUCCGUGCCAGCAGCCGCGGUAAUACGGAGGGUGCGAGCGUUAAUCGGAAUUACUGGGCGUAAAGCGCGCGUAGGUGGCUUGAUAAGCCGGUUGUGAAAGCCCCGGGCUCAACCUGGGAACGGCAUCCGGAACUGUCAAGCUAGAGUGCAGGAGAGGAAGGUAGAAUUCCCGGUGUAGCGGUGAAAUGCGUAGAGAUCGGGAGGAAUACCAGUGGCGAAGGCGGCCUUCUGGACUGACACUGACACUGAGGUGCGAAAGCGUGGGUAGCAAACAGGAUUAGAUACCCCUGUAGUC